AGGGGGCUACGAAAUACAGUUUGACAAUGUUUCCUUUAGAUAUGAAUGAAGUACAUAAAGUAAAAGACAAAACGUUUGUGAGACUACUACGCCUUUGAGAGAGGCUAAUAAAAGUAGCAAAUCGAACUGAUAGAUGAAUCGGCGACUGACUAGUCAGAAUUUAGACAGAAAUAGACUCACUUUGACAGUCAAAAAAGUUAAAUAAAAUUGGAAAGUGAGUGAUGAAAUAGGCAGCGAUAAAAUAGGAAAGCAAGUUUAUCAACAAAGCAGUUCAACUGUCGAUAGCAACAACUUAUCCUGCCUCAACAGCUGAAGUUGACUAUUGACAGGUAGACAAAUGAAUGAAAUUGGCAUAAGAAGACAUUAUUGCCUGUGUGUUUACAUUAAGUAAGUAAUAACCAUUUGAACAUAUUGCAUUUAGCAUUGAAUGUUUACAAAAUUUUAAAACCGAAGUAACAAUUACAGAAGUCUUACCAGCUGGAGGAAGACAGCUCAAAGAUCCUUUGGCAGUCAUUAUUUUAUAUAAAAGAAAGAAAUGCCGGCAUCAGCAUUAAGAUUACAAAUUGAGGAAAUGUCUGAAUACAUUGUACAUACGAGUACUGGCAAGGUGCAAAAACCUAUUUGGAGUAAGAUGACCUGCCAUCAGGUCAUGUGAGAUGUUAAUGAUGUAGACAUCAUUAUUAAUGGCAGAUGCCCUACGUGGCCUACCAGGAUUGAUGUGUCCGUGAAGACUCACCAAAUCCAAAUAGCUGUUGGUUUCCAUGGAUCGGAUGGCUUCUGCAAAAUAAAUCAAGUUGACUCAGAGACAUUAUUUGUGCGGUGCUCUGCUAAGAAUACCGACAACAUUUGGAAACGAAAACCUGCCAGCCAAGUUUCAUGAACCUUCAGGAAGAACUGAUGAAGGAGCGCAUAAAUGCCAAGAUCGGUAGCCUCAUAUGCUAGGCUCAUGAAUCCUUCUUCGAUCAUGUGGUUGGGGAGCAAAGGUAGAGCUAGGAGGCUCCUGACAAUUGAGUGAGCCCUAUCAUUGUAGCCUAGAAAAUUUGUGAGGCCCAUAGUCCGGCUGAGAAUGGUGACAGCCUGAAAUCAACAGGUUUUACACCUCAGCAUCGCAUCAGAAAUAAUGAAGAAUAUUUGGACCACUUACUCUGGAGAAAUGCCAAUAGCACCCUUGAACAAUCACAUCGUAGACCUCAACCCAUGCCUGCAUCUGUGAGCAUUCAAAGUCUGUGACCACAAUACGAGGACGGAACGUAGGUGCCGCUUCUCUGAUGGCCUCCAACACUGCUACAUAUGCAAUGCGAGUCCUUGUCUGCAUAAGGACCUGGCAAAGCGGUACAACCUAUA